rnacentral:rRNA from 1 species
AUGUCAUCAGUUGAGUCUCUAAGCCUGUUUCUGUGGAUAGUUGGUUCCCCUCAAUCUCUAAGACAAGCAGAAAACAGAUUUGUUAGGUCAUUGGACACAAUUGUAAGGAAGUUUGAUAAGGUUUUGGCCUGCCUGAUCAAGCUCGCAAAAGACAUCAUCAAGCCAACAGAUCCUCAAUUCAAAACUGUGCAUUCAAAACUAAGAUCUAGAAAGUAUGCACCAUUUAUGGACAAUUGCAUUGGAGCAAUAGAUGAGACACACAUACAAGUUGUGGUACCAAUUGCCACUGCUGUCCAGCAUAGGAAUAGACAUAAGGAGAAGAGUCGGAAUGUGAUGUGUGUGUGUGACUUUAAUAUGAGAUUCACAUUUGUCCUAGCCGGCUGGCCAGGAUCGGUGCAUGACAUGAGGGUCUUCAAUGAUGCCCGAUCCAGAUUUGGUGACAAGUUUCCAAAACCUCCACCUGAAAAGUUCUAUCUUGUGGACUCAUGA